rnacentral:rRNA from 1 species
CCUGGCUCAGAUUGAACGCUGGCGGAAUGCUUUACACAUGCAAGUCGAGCGGCAGCGCGGGGCAACCUGGCGGCGAGCGGUGAACGGGUGAGUAAUGCAUCGGAACAUGUCCAUGUCUGGGGGAUAGCCCGGCGAAAGCCGGAUUAAUACCGCAUACGCCCGAGAGGGGAAAGCAGGGGACCGCAAGGCCUUGCGCGAUUGGGUUGGCCGAUGUCCGAUUAGCUUGUUGGUGAGGUAAAGGCUUACCAAGGCGAUGAUCGGUAGCUGGUCUGAGAGGAUGAUCAGCCACACUGGGACUGAGACACGGCCCAGACUCCUACGGGAGGCAGCAGUGGGGAAUUUUGGACAAUGGGGGCAACCCUGAUCCAGCCAUUCCGCGUGAGUGAAGAAGGCCUUCGGGUUGUAAAGCUCUUUUGUCCGGAGCGAAACGGGCGGCCCUAAUACGGUCGUCUACUGACGGUACCGGAAGAAUAAGCACCGGCUAACUACGUG